UACGGGGGGGGUAAGCGUUGUUCGGAAUUACUGGGCGUAAAGGGCUCGUAGGUGGCCAACUAAGUCAGACGUGAAAUCCCUCGGCUUAACCGGGGAACUGCGUCUGAUACUGGAUGGCUUGAGUUCGGGAGAGGGAUGCGGAAUUCCAGGUGUAGCGGUGAAAUGCGUAGAUAUCUGGAGGAACACCGGUGGCGAAGGCGGCAUCCUGGACCGACACUGACACUGAGGAGCGAAAGCGUGGGGAGCAAACAGG
rnacentral:rRNA from 1 species